rnacentral:rRNA from 1 species
UACAGAGGGUGCUAGCGUUGUUCGGAAUCAUUGGGCGUAAAGGGCGUGUAGGCGGUUUGUUAAGUCAUGUGUGAAAUCCCUCGGCUCAACCGGGGAACGACGCAUGAAACUGGCAAGCUAGAGUACCAAAGAGGGGGGUGGAAUUCCCGGUGUAGCGGUGAAAUGCGCAGAUAUCGGGAGGAACACCAAUGGCGAAGGCAGCUCGCUGGGACGGUACUGACGCUGAGACGCGAAAGCGUGGGGAGCAAACAGG